UACGUAGGGUGCAAGCGUUGUCCGGAAUUAUUGGGCGUAAAGAGCUCGUAGGCGGUUUGUCGCGUCGGCUGUGAAAUCCCGAGGCUCAACCUCGGGCCUGCAGUCGAUACGGGCAAACUAGAGUGUGGUAGGGGAGACUGGAAUUCCUGGUGUAGCGGUGAAAUGCGUAGAUAUCAGGAGGAACACCUGUGGCGAAAGCGGCUCACUGGACCAUAACUGACGCUGAUGCACGAAAGCUAGGGGAGCAAACAGG
rnacentral:rRNA from 1 species